rnacentral:rRNA from 1 species
GACGGAAGGUGCAAGCGUUGCUCGGAAUCAUUGGGCGUAAAGGGUGCGUAGGCGGCUUGGUGGGUCUGGUGUGAAAGCCCCGGGCUUAGCCCGGGAAGGGCGCUAGAAACUGCCGAGCUCGAGUGCCGGAGGGGAGAGUGGAAUUCCUGGUGUAGCGGUGAAAUGCGUAGAGAUCAGGAGGAACACCCGUAGCGAAGGCGGCACUCUGGGCCGGUACUGACGCUGAGGAGCGAAAGCGUGGGGAGCAAACAGG